UGGAAACCUAGGGUAACUGUCAUUUCUGUGAAGCUUGGCUUGUGCUCUGGACGCAUACUUGGAUAUAUCUGAAGUUAAUCACCUUUGCUCUUAUCUACAGGUUUUGAAAUGGUUAAGAGUGCUGUAGCAGAAAAGGCCUUCUAUGGGAAGGGCACGCCGGAGACUUUCAUGACUGACAACUGCGAUGCCAUGAGGAAAGCCCUAGCAGCAACCUGGCCUGGAGCUCGACAGUUCCUCUGCAUUUUUCAUUUUCUACAACAAGUAUGGAGGUGGCUAUUGGACUCGAGACACGAAAUCAAGAAAGAAGAUCGCCAGGAACUUAUGACUAUAGUGAAAAGCCUCGUAUAUUCAGCAACGAAGAACGAUUUAUUCACGUCAUGGGGAAAAUUCAAGGCUAAUCCUCUUUCGGAGAAGUAUCCUAACUUUAGAAGCUAUCUAGGCUCACUGAUGGAAAGGAGUGACGAGUGGGCGAUAACGUUCAGGGCAGGUGCGGUGCUACGUGGACAUCACACCAACAACUUCUGUGAGGCAACAAUGUGCAUCAUUAAGGAAGUCGUUCUUAAUAGAUGCAAGGCAUACAACGCAACGCAGCUGAUCAUUUUCAUGGCCGAAAUCUUUGACAGCUACAUGAAGAAGAGGCUGGUGGACGUUGCGCUUGGCAGACGGAG